rnacentral:rRNA from 1 species
GGGUUUUAUUGGCCGACUAUGAUUAAUGAUUGCUUCAGAUAUUAUAAAGGGUGUGAAGCUUGUCAAAAGUUUGGUGAUAUUCAAUUGGCUCCUGCUGCUAUGUUACAUCCUAUUAUCAAACCGUGGCCUUUCAGAGGUUGGGGUUUAGAUUUCAUUGGACAAAUCCACCCGUCUUCCUCAAAAGGGCAUCGGUUCGUAUUGGUGGCAACUGAUUAUUUCACUAAAUGGUCUGAAGCAGUACCUCUCAAGAACAUGACACAUACGGAGUUAAUACAAUUCAUAACCGAGCACAUUAUUCAUAGAUUCGGUAUUCCUCAAACAUUAACUACAGAUCAAGGUUCAUCUUUUAUGUCACACCAAGUCAGAGAGUUUGCCGAAUCUUAUAAUAUAAAGUUGCGCAAUUCCUCUGCAUAUUAUGCCCAAGCUAAUGGACAAGCUGAGUAUAGCAAUAAAAUUCUAAUCAAGCUCAUCAAAAAGAAGAUUAAGGACAAUCCGAGGAGAUGGCAUGAGUUGUUGUCUGAAGCUUUAUGGGCACACAAAAUUUCAAGGCAUGGUGCUACGAAGGUGACUCCAUAUGAGCUAGUAUAUGGUCAGGAGGCUGUUUUACCAGUGGAGGUAAAUUUGGAUGCUUUGAGAAUAGCCAAACAAAAUGAUUUA